AGCUGGUUUGCCGUAACAAAGCUCUUCAUUCACAACAUUCGGAAAGAUGCAUCAGUGAGUGUCUUCGCCCCCAUGGUGCCGGUUCCUCCUGGGAAAGUUAGCCCAUCUGGGUUUGGCGUACCUGAUGAAAUAUUGGUCUCGGAGUCGUGGUGGGACACCGUUCAGGGAGCAGGGAACGCCUACGGGAACGCCCUUGCAGCCUCAGUUCUCUCGCUGCAGGAGUCCUACCAGAACCUCCUCCAGGAUACCACGGACGAAAGCUAAUCAGUGUCCGGUUUUCCCCAAGUCGGGGGCGUUGGAGAAGAAGAGGGAGAAAGAGAAAGGAGGAGGAUAAAUAGAAGAAAGAGAAGGAGGAGGAGGAAUGUUUAAAGGAGAACUUAAAAGUGAGGUGAAAAGUUGUGGAAAUAUAUAUCAAGGUGGUUAAGAAAAGAGAGAAAAAAAAUGUGGAAUUUAUAUUAUUGGACUUUUUAUUGGAUGAAAUGAACAUUGAGCGGAAUUAAAAAACAAAACAAAAAACAGUAACAUCAAAACACUCUAGUCUGGUAUAUAUUUUUUAUACUCUGAACUGAUUCCUGCCAUGAGUCCUGAUGUUAUACAGAGCCCUGAGAAUUAGCAUGAAUAACUAAUUAUAUUCCAUCCAAUUUCAGGAAAGGAAAAACUGGCAACCCACCCCGAACUAUGGUGAACUCCGAUACGACAAAUCUCUCGAGUAAGAAUAUUACAAUGGUGUUGAAGACAGUAAAUUUCAACAAAAAAGACAACAAAGAAUAUUGUAUAUACGCUUUAGAAACACGAGACAUGUAAACACAAGAAUCAACUAAUUAGGAAAAAAAUCGGAAUGUCCCAGAGUCCAGGUUGAGUUGCCAGGUUUUCUUUUUUUAGAGAUUGGACGAGCUAUAUAGUAAGUAUGACUUUUUAAAGCCUUUUCCUCAUUAAUAUUAAGACAGUUAAGGAGAUAAAACUAUCUAGGAAGGACUUAAAAGCAGGACACUAGAUGCGGGUCAUUUCUGUAGCUUCCGAAGCACAUUUACAAUAUCAGUAAUUUUGCAUUUUGAAGAAAUUCUAACGACGACGUAAGAUUAUGAGUAGUUGCGGAAAGCGGAUCGAGUUUCUUGUUUGGUUCUCGUUCAAGUUGCAUUUUGAGAAUUCUGAUAAGUGGAAGAAAAAUAAUAAGUCUGUGAAUCAUGUAUGUGCUAAAUAAAAUAUACAGUAUUAA